rnacentral:SRP_RNA from 1 species
GCCAGGUGUGGUGGUGCACACUUGUUAUCCCAGCUACCUGGGAGGCUGAGGUGGAAGAAUCACUUGAGCCCAGGGGGUGGAGGUUGCAGUGAGCCAAGAUUGUGCCACUGCACUCUAGCCUGGGCGACAGAGCAAGACUCCACCUCAA